rnacentral:rRNA from 1 species
GACGAACGCUGGCGGCGUGCUCAACACAUGCAAGUCGAACGAUGAAGCUGGAGCUUGCUCCGGUGGAUUAGUGGCGAACGGGUGAGUAACACGUGAGCAAUCUGCCCUUGACUCUGGGAUAACUGCGGGAAACUGUAGCUAAUACCGGAUACUUUCACUGGAAGGCAUCUUCUGGUGAAGAAAGAAUUUCGGUCAAGGAUGAGCUCGCGGCCUAUCAGCUUGUUGGUGAGGUAACGGCUCACCAAGGCGACGACGGGUAGCCGGCCUGAGAGGGUGACCGGCCACACUGGGACUGAGACACGGCCCAGACUCCUACGGGAGGCAGCAGUGGGGAAUAUUGCACAAUGGGCGCAAGCCUGAUGCAGCAACGCCGCGUGAGGGAUGAAGGCCUUCGGGUUGUAAACCUCUUUUAGCGGGGAAGAAGCGAAAGUGACGGUACCUGCAGAAAAAGCACCGGCUAACUACGUGCCAGCCGCCGCGGUAA